CUUUGGUACUUGCUGGACAGACUGCUGCCACGCCGGCUGGCUAGGUCACUCUAGCCCUCAUCCAGUGGCUGAUGGAAGCAGAGGCAAACACCCACAGACAUACACUGAACUGAACUCUGGAACCUAGUUGCAGAGAGGGAGGAAUGAAGAGCAAUGGGGUUCUCUCUCAACCAGAGGGUAGAGGAGCAAGACUGGAAUGGCUGCAGAUGAAACUGGCUGUUGUGUUGUGCCUCUAAGUCCCUCUUUGGGGUUUGGUGGCAGGAAGAGUCUGGGGGUCACAGAGCCUUCAUCCAGUAGCUGUUUGAAGCAGAAACAGGCACCCACAGCUAAGCACUGAAUCUUACUAGUGGAAUCCAGUUGUGGAGAAGGAGGAGGG
rnacentral:lncRNA from 1 species